rnacentral:lncRNA from 1 species
CCUGGGUGGGGGGGUUGGCUGAACCUUGUAGGGGAUAUGAGCUUCGAUCAAGGGGCACAGUGCAAGCAGGUGGCACGGGCAGCGGGCUGGAAGCAUGGAGCUCUUUUCCUCUCUGAUUUAUCUUGAAGAUGAAGACUUAUCCAUGAUCAGAUUCCAAUCCAGAUGUGUGACUUCAAGAAUUCAGUGAUGUGCACCUUUAAAAUGCGAUUUAACCCAUGACCAAAGCAGCUGAACAGUGGCAAAGGCCCAGUUGCUAAUAUCUGGAGAACAAUGAUGGGAGCUGCACCUGUGUCUGAUGACGGAGUCUUCCCCUUUUGGGACCAACAGUUGGGAUGAGGCUGCUAGAUCCAACCUAAAUCGGGAACCGAGACUAGAGGUUUACCCUUGGCUGUGUCACUUCGUAGGUCUCUCCUUUGAAGAAUCCUUUCUUCCAAGGAAUCUCAAGUACUUGCAAGGAGAUUGGAUGCUGCCCCAGCUCUGGUUCCAGCAGGAAUAA